rnacentral:other from 1 species
GGCGGGCUGCCCGGUGCGUGAGAGAAUUUCCCAGGGCCCUAUACCGAUCUCCAUGGGAGCUGUCCCUGGCCGGAGCCGUGGCUUCGGACAUACGGCGCCCACCUACAUCAAGUAGGACCCGGGAUCGCACCUCUCACGGCCAUGGCGGCUUCGCC